AUUGAACGCUGGCGGCAGGCUUAACACAUGCCAGUCGAACGAGUGGCAGACGGGUGAGUAAUGCUUGGGAAUCUAGCUUAUGGAGGGGGAUAACUACGGGAAACUGUAGCUAAUACCGCGUACCAUAGGAUAAACCCAAGUGGGCUUAGGUAGUUGGUGAGGUAAAGGAUAACCAAGCCGACGAUCUCUAGCUGGUCUGAGAGGAUUACCAGCCACACUGUGAUUGCGACACGGCCCAGACUCCUACGGGAGGCAGCAGUGGGGAAUAUUGCGCAAUGGGGGCAACCUGACGCAGCCAUGCCGCGUGAAUGAAGAAGGCCUUCGGGGUGUAAAGUUCUUUCGGUAGCGAGGCGUUAACUACAGAAGAAGCAUCGGCUAACUCCGUGCCAGCAGCCGCGGUAAUUC
rnacentral:rRNA from 1 species